GAACCCGGCCGACGCCCCGCCCGGCACCAUCCGCGGGGAUUUCUGCAUCGAGGUUGGCAAGAACUUGAUUCACGGCAGCGACUCGGUGGAGAGUGCCCGCCGCGAGAUCGCGCUCUGGUUCCGCGCAGACGAGCUCCUGUGCUGGGAGGACAGCGCCGGGCACUGGCUGUAUGAGUAGCCCGGCAGGUGCGUGUCGCAGAGGCUCUGACACCCCAGCCUCCUCCAGGGCCCAGGUGGCCGGGCUUCUGGCCCCACCCCGCAGCGCUUGGAACAUCCACCUGUCAGGACGUUGCAUCGAGGGUGGCGCGGGCCUCUCCAAUCCCUGGCGUACAGGGCUUCCUGCCCCAGGAGCUGCUCCAGGUGCCUGCGCGGCUCGCCUGGAAACGUGCCAGGACACUGUCCUGGUGCCCAGCCCAACAUGGUCCAACGUUUCUUUUUAUAAUAAAGUGAAGUCCUCGUUUUCGUGUCGGUUUGGGUCCAGAAACAG